AUUGAACGCUGGCGGCAGGCCUAACACAUGCAAGUCGAACGGCAACACGAAGAUGGUUGCUUCUUUGCUGACGAGUGGGGGGCGGGUGAGAAAUGUCCGGGAAACUGCCUGGUGGAGGGGGAUACCUACUGGAAACGGUUGCCAAUACCGAAUAACGUGGCAAGGCCAAAGAGCGGGGCAUUCCGGCCUCUUGCCGUCGCCUGUGCCCAGAUGGGAUUAGCUAGUGGGUGGGGUAACGGCUCACCAAGGCGACGAUCCGUAGCUGGUCUGAGAGGAUGACCAGCCACACUGGAACUGAGACACGGUCCAGACUCCUACGGGAGGCAGCAGUGGGGAAUAUUGCACAAUGGGCGAAAGCCUGAUGCAGCCAUGCCGCGUGUGUGAAGAAGGCCUUCGGGUUGUAAAGUACUUUCAGCGGGGAGGAAAAGAAUUAAGUCAAUACCAUGGUGCAUUGACGUUACCCGCAGAAUAAGCACCGGCUAACUCCGUG
rnacentral:rRNA from 1 species